rnacentral:rRNA from 1 species
AUGAACGCUAGCUACAGGCUUAACACAUGCAAGUCGAGGGGCAUCAUUUCAGUUUGCUUGCAAACUGGAGAUGGCGACCGGCGCACGGGUGAGUAACACGUAUCCAACCUGCCGAUAACUCGGGGAUAGCCUUUCGAAAGAAAGAUUAAUACCCGAUGGUAUAAUCAGACCGCAUGGUCUUGUUAUUAAAGAAUUUCGGUUAUCGAUGGGGAUGCGUUCCAUUAGGCAGUUGGUGAGGUAACGGCUCACCAAACCUUCGAUGGAUAGGGGUUCUGAGAGGAAGGUCCCCCACAUUGGAACUGAGACACGGUCCAAACUCCUACGGGAGGCAGCAGUGAGGAAUAUUGGUCAAUGGGCGCAGGCCUGAACCAGCCAAGUAGCGUGAAGGAUGACUGCCCUAUGGGUUGUAAACUUCUUUUAUAUGGGAAUAAAGUUUUCCACGUGUGGAAUUUUGUAUGUACCAUAUGAAUAAGGAUCGGCUAACUCCGUGCCAGCAGCCGCGGUAAUACGGAGGAUCCGAGCGUUAUCCGGAUUUAUUGGGUUUAAAGGGAGCGUAGGUGGACAGUUAAGUCAGUUGUGAAAGUUUGCGGCUCAACCGUAAAAUUGCAGUUGAUACUGGCUGUCUUGAGUACAGUAGAGGUGGGCGGAAUUCGUGGUGUAGCGGUGAAAUGCUUAGAUAUCACGAAGAACUCCGAUUGCGAAGGCAGCUCACUGGACUGCAACUGACACUGAUGCUCGAAAGUGUGGGUAUCAAACAGGAUUAGAUACCCUGGUAGUCCACACAGUAAACGAUGAAUACUCGCUGUUUGCGAUAUACAGUAAGCGGCCAAGCGAAAGCAUUAAGUAUUCCACCUGGGGAGUACGCCGGCAACGGUGAAACUCAAAGGAAUUGACGGGGGCCCGCACAAGCGGAGGAACAUGUGGUUUAAUUCGAUGAUACACGAGGAACCUUACCCGGGCUUAAAUUGCAUUUGAAUAUAUUGGAAACAGUAUAGCCGUAAGGCAAAUGUGAAGGUGCUGCAUGGUUGUCGUCAGCUCGUGCCGUGAGGUGUCGGCUUAAGUGCCAUAACGAGCGCAACCCUUAUCUUUAGUUACUAACAGGUCAUGCUGAGGACUCUAGAGAGACUGCCGUCGUAAGAUGUGAGGAAGGUGGGGAUGACGUCAAAUCAGCACGGCCCUUACGUCCGGGGCUACACACGUGUUACAAUGGGGGGUACAGAAGGCAGCUACCUGGUGACAGGAUGCUAAUCCCAAAAGCCUCUCUCAGUUCGGAUCGAAGUCUGCAACCCGACUUCGUGAAGCUGGAUUCGCUAGUAAUCGCGCAUCAGCCAUGGCGCGGUGAAUACGUUCCCGGGCCUUGUACACACCGCCCGUCAAGCCAUGAAAGCCGGGGGUACCUGAAGUACGUAACCGCAAGGAGCGUCCUAGGGUAAAACUGGUAAUUGGGGCU